rnacentral:snRNA from 1 species
GCCUUCGGGCACUUGGUCAAUUUGAAAACAUACAGAGAAGAUUAGCAUGGCCCCUGCACCAAGGAUGACACGCUCAAUUCGAAGAGAAGCAAGGUUUUUUU